rnacentral:rRNA from 1 species
UACGGAGGAUGCAAGCGUUAUCCGGAAUGAUUGGGCGUAAAGCGUCCGCAGGUGGCUAUGUAAGUCUGCUGUUAAAGAGUGAGGCUCAACCUCAUAAGAGCAGUGGAAACUACAUGGCUAGAGUGCGUUCGGGGCAGAGGGAAUUCCUGGUGUAGCGGUGAAAUGCGUAGAGAUCAGGAAGAACACCGGUGGCGAAAGCGCUCUGCUAGGCCGCAACUGACACUCAAGGACGAAAGCUAGGGGAGCGAAUGGG